CAGCCGCCGCGGGAAUACGAAGGGGGCUAGCGUUGCUCGGAAUGACUGGGCGUAAAGGGCGCGUAGGCGGCGAUCAAAGUCAGGCGUGAAAUUCCUGGGCUCAACCUGGGGGCUGCGUUUGAUACUUGAUUGCUAGAGUGGGGAAGAGGGUCGUGGAAUUCCCAGUGUAGAGGUGAAAUUCGUAGAUAUUGGGAAGAACACCGGUGGCGAAGGCGGCGACCUGGUCCUUGACUGACGCUGAGGCGCGAAAGCGUGGGGAGCAAACAGGAUUAGAUACCCCUGUAGUCCCUGUCUCUUAUAC
rnacentral:rRNA from 1 species